AUUGAACGCUGGCGGCAUGCCUUACACAUGCAAGUCGAACGGUAACAGGUCUUCGGAUGCUGACGAGUGGCGAACGGGUGAGUAAUACGUCGGAACGUGCCCAGUAGUGGGGGAUAACUACUCGAAAGAGUGGCUAAUACCGCAUGAGAUCUACGGAUGAAAGCAGGGGAUCGCAAGACCUUGUGCUACUAGAGCGGCCGAUGGCAGAUUAGGUAGUUGGUGGGAUAAAAGCUUACCAAGCCGACGAUCUGUAGCUGGUCUGAGAGGACGAUCAGCCACACUGGGACUGAGACACGGCCCAGACUCCUACGGGAGGCAGCAGUGGGGAAUUUUGGACAAUGGGCGCAAGCCUGAUCCAGCAAUGCCGCGUGCAGGAUGAAGGCCUUCGGGUUGUAAACUGCUUUUGUACGGAACGAAAAGCCCCGGGUUAAUACCCUGGGGUCAUGACGGUACCGUAAGAAUAAGCACCGGCUAACUACGUGCCAGCCGCCGCAGUAA
rnacentral:rRNA from 1 species